ACCUGGAGGCGAGGUGCUCCCUGUGCCUGCACAGCUCAUCUGGGACAGCACUGCCGUGCUCCGGGGCAGUCUUCUCCCCCGCCCCCCAUCCCCUGGGGCUGCGAACGGGGCGCUCCGCGGGCAGCCUAGCCCGGUUCUCUCUGUGGGUUUCGGUGUUUGAGUUGUUUCCAUCAGGGCAUGGAGAGAAGCUCAGAUACAAGAAGGUAAAUGAAAUAAACGGAAGCCUCCUUCAUUGCAGCAGCAAUCCUACUGCUGCAUUCCGUGGGCAUGUAGGCGGAAGGACAGCCACCCAGGGAAGCUGCACUCUCUCCCCUCCGCUGCCGCGCGAGAAGCGUCUUUCCUGCAUGUGGCCCCUGCCACCACCACCCUUUUAACAGAUGGCUCUCCAGAGAGGCCAGGGGACUCAUUCCAGACAGGCGAGUACCCAGAGCAGUGUCUGACAGUCACCCUGCCUAGUGAUUCCAGAGAAAACAAGCUGAGGACUAAUUAGAAGGAUAAACUGUGCCUCUCCGUGGCUGCCUUCGUGAUGGGCCUGCUCCCAGCUUUUUGUGUAUGUUCAUGCAUCCUGUGCUGUGUCAACACUUCAUGUGACUAGGCAGCAUAGCAAGAUGUACUGGAAUCAUACCAUUUGUGUGCUUCAGAGAUUGUGCUGCUUUUCUAACAGUGCAGCUGGUGGAGAGAGUCCAACGUUAACCUUUAGAAACUCAGUAUACUGCAUUACUUGUAUUGAACAGCAGAGAAGAUGGAAUUUCGUUAAGUGUUGCAGUCUUGUAUGGGGAAUGUGAAUAGAAAUUACAGGAUAGAGGAUGUAUGGGGCAAAUUCUGCACUGAUUUACACCCUCUGCAGCAGUGGGCUUGGUCAAAGUACACACCUGGCCACUGGUACCUGCUUCCUCUCAAGAUUUAUCUGUAUGAUCAUGCCAUUUAAUAAUGGGAUGAGGCCUUAAAAACUGAAGUCCUGCCUACGCUGCAUGGACAUUUGAAAUCCCAUAGCACUUUCUGUAAGAGUAGAUGCAUUUCUGAAGAAGAGAGAGGGAAGGCUGAGGGUCAGCAGUACAGAUGGUGAAUGCAGAAGCAUUAAAUACUGGAUGAUCAAAUCUUUUUCAUGUGUAACUUAUUUACAUAAGUCUCCUUAUGUAAUUUAUAAGUAAUUCCCACAUUUAACUGAAAGUGGGUUUAUUUUUUAAGCACUCAUGUAAUUAGGCUCUUUUGCCACUUGAUAGCACCAGAAUGUUAUUUUCCUACUUAUUCAGGCAACACACACACACUGCUCCAAUCUCAUACAGGAAGAUUUCUUUAAAUGAGGGAUUUUUUAAAUCAAAUUAAACUUUAAAAUGAACCCAAUCA